CAAGGCUCUCUGACUGACUCCUUCUCGGCUUAGCGGCUGAAGACUGAUGCUGCCCGAUCGCCUCGGAAGCCCCGUAGACCAUCACGGAUGCCGAGCUUCCGGUAACUCUCACAGUGGAAGACUCAGCCCGCCUGCACCCAGGUGAAAUAAACAGCCAUGUUGCUCAAAAAAAAAAAAAAAAAAAAAAAAAAAAAAGAA